rnacentral:rRNA from 1 species
GACGAACGCUGGCGGCGUGCUUAACACAUGCAAGUCGAACGAUGAAGCGCUGUCUUUUUGGUGGUGUGGAUUAGUGGCGAACGGGUGAGUAAUACGGGGGCAACCUGCCCCUCUGAUUCGGGAAAAGCUUUGAAAACGGGGUCUAAUCCCGGAUGUGCGUGUUUGGUCUCAUGGCUUGGCGGACAAAAUAUGUUUUUGCGC